rnacentral:rRNA from 1 species
AGAGUUUGAUCCUGGCUCAGGACGAACGCUGGCGGCGUGCUUAACACAUGCAAGUCGAGCGGAAAGGCCCUUCGGGGUACUCGAGCGGCGAACGGGUGAGUAACACGUGAGCAACCUGCCCUUAGCUUUGGGAUAACCCUCGGAAACGGGGGCUAAUACCGAAUGUUCACCUCCGGACGCAUGUUCGGGAGUGGAAAGUUUUUCGGCUAGGGAUGGGCUCGCGGCCUAUCAGCUUGUUGGUGGGGUGAUGGCCUACCAAGGCGACGACGGGUAGCCGGCCUGAGAGGGCGACCGGCCACACUGGGACUGAGACACGGCCCAGACUCCUACGGAGGCAGCAGUGGGGAAUAUUGCACAAUGGGCGAAAGCCUGAUGCAGCGACGCCGCGUGAGGGAAGACGGCCUUCGGGUUGUAAACCUCUUUCAGCCCCGACGAAGCGCAAGUGACGGUAGGGGCAGAAGAAGCGCCGGCCAACUACGUGCCAGCAGCCGCGGUAAGACGUAGGGCGCAAGCGUUGUCCGGAUUUAUUGGGCGUAAAGAGCUCGUAGGCGGCUUGUUGCGUCGACUGUGAAAACCCACGGCUCAACCGUGUGGUCUGCAGUCGAUACGGGCAGGCUAGAGUUCGGUAGGGGAGACUGGAAUUCCUGGUGUAGCGGUGAAAUGCGCAGAUAUCAGGAGGAACACCGGUGGCGAAGGCGGGUCUCUGGGCCGAUACUGACGCUGAGGAGCGAAAGCGUGGGGAGCGAACAGGAUUAGAUACCCUGGUAGUCC